rnacentral:lncRNA from 1 species
CCUCUAUGUUUUUCUUAUACAUGUUUUUUUUUUCUCUGUGUGUGGGGUUUAUAGACGAAUCUAGUGGACUGGCUGAAAACAAUGGUAGGAAACCGAAGAUCAGAAGAAGUAGUUGAUCCCAAAAUAGCGGAACCACCAUCAUCGAAGGCUCUUAAACGAGUGUUGCUCGUUGCUUUGCGUUGUGUUGAUCCAGAUGCAAACAAGAGACCUAAAAUGGGACAUAUCAUUCAUAUGCUUGAAGCUGAAGACUCACUCUAUCGCGAUGUAAGCCAUUUUUUUUGUCUUUAUUAUAUUUUUUAUGAGUUAAAAUAAUUGUCUAAUGGUGAGACGAUGUUUUUUUUUGCAGGAACGCCGAACAACGAGGGACCAUGGAAACAGAGAUAAGCAAGAGACAGCGGCUACUGAAAGCGGGGAGAGCGGCUCGCGGCAUCACCAGCAAAAGCUAAGAUGAACAAAAGGAUCAUCAUUUUAAGUGACUUUGCUUCUCACACACGACCAAUUCCCACUUCAAUUGAUUCUUAUUAUUAUUAGUUUUGUGUCACAUUCACAUACAUAAAUAUUUUUCAUUCUUUGGCUCUUGAGUUACGUCUAAUUAACCUUUUUGUUUUUCCUUUUUGUAAUAUUUUGUCAACGUUCACAUAUCACAUGUCAUAUAUAUAUAUAUAAAAAUUGGAGUAUAAAAUGUAAUUGUUUUGGACCAACAUCGACGCUAUGUGCGUGCCGUUGCAUAACACGAUUGGUGGAUGGAUCAAAACUUAUCGCUUUAAGAACCGGUAUGGGUGCCCACAGGAUGCUUUAAGCUCGCGUGAUUGUGUUUCUAAACAAUUUAAGUAUUGUCGUGUGUAUGACCCCACUCCACUAGAUUAUGGACCUAAUGUAUAUGCGACUAUGAUCUUUAAAAUUUCCAAGUUGCAGUAAUUUUAAAUAGAUUAAAAUUUUAUAAUGAAAUUGGAUGACUAGCUUGUGAACACAAGAUAAGAGCACAGUCGUCACCCGAGCGACGACUCUGGAGUCUCUUCACGUGUAGGAGAAAAACUAAGAGGUAGACGACAUACAAUUUGAUAAAGGGUGAAAGAAAAUAUCGUGGUUCCAUUAUGUUCCAGACAUGAUUUGAUCAUUUUGAGAUUUCAUUAUCCAGGACCUUUGUUACCUAGCAGCUUGGCGUCCCAAACCACUUGGUUUGGUACCUUACUCGGAUCUCUAAUCGUCAUCGCCCUCUUCCUCCUCUCCCUCUGCCUCACCUCCCGCCGCAAAAACCGCAAACCGCGAGCCGACUUCGCCUCCGCCGCCGUGGCAACGCCGCCGAUUUCGAAGGAGAUUAAGGAGAUCGUUCCGGCGCCGGCGGAGAUCCAGGUGGACAUAGGGAAGAUGGAGCACAGAGUGGUGUUCUCGGAUCGAGUGUCGAGCGGGGAGAGCAGAGGAACGGCGAGUGCGAGCGAGACGGCGUCGUAUUCGGGGAGCGGGAACGUGGGGCCGGAGGUGUCGCAUCUGGGAUGGGGGAGGUGGUAUACUCUGAGGGAGCUCGAGGCGGCCACGAAUGGGCUGUGUGAGGAGAAUGUGAUCGGAGAAGGCGGUUACGGGAUAGUGUAUCGUGGGGUGUUAACCGACGGUACUAAAGUCGCCGUCAAGAACUUGCUUAAUAACAGGUAAACAAAUUGAUCCAUUACUCAUUUCUAGAUUUAUGUGUAGAGCCCGAGGGAGAUGAGUGACAGCGAUCAGAGUCAAUUCACUGCCGUGCGUAUGAUUGUGGUCCUUGAAAGUUGUUGUUUUUGUUAUUGAAUUCAUCAUAUGUAUAGAUGAUGAUGUCAUGCGUCACAUGUGGUUUUGAUGACUAAUAAGUAAAUACUAUGCUUUUGGAUUUAGAUCUCUCUAUAUCAAGUGUAAGAUUUGUAAGUGUUUCUUAUAAUAAUUAUUACAGGGGACAGGCAGAGAAGGAAUUCAAAGUAGAAGUGGAAGUGAUUGGGCGUGUACGGCACAAGAAUCUCGUUAGGCUUUUAGGUUAUUGCGUUGAAGGUGCUUACAGGUAAAAUGCUGAUGCUCAUUUCUCCUUCUUUUUUUUUUUUAAUUUGGGAAGAAACCAAUGUUGUGAUCUGAUGUGUGAGUUCUGUCUACUUACAGGAUGCUAGUGUAUGACUUUGUGGAUAAUGGCAAUUUGGAGCAAUGGAUUCACGGUGAUGUUGGUGAUGUGAGCCCUCUAACUUGGGAUAUUCGUAUGAACAUCAUACUAGGGAUGGCUAAAGGGUAAUUUUUUUAUAAUUAUUUUAAGUAAAAAUAGAUUCAUCUCUAUGUUUGUAACAUUGUAAAUAUUUGGUGUAGAUUGGCGUAUCUACACGAGGGUCUUGAACCAAAAGUGGUACAUCGGGAUAUAAAAUCGGGGAAUAUAUUGCUUGAUCGCCAAUGGAAUGCUAAGGUUUCGGAUUUUGGACUUGCUAAGCUCUUGGGUUCCGACAGCAGUUAUGUGACCACCCGUGUCAUGGGAACCUUCGGGUAAACUCUCUCUCUCUCUCUCUCUCUCUCCCGCGAUAAAAGCCUUUAUAAAUCUGAAUCUUUAGGAAAUAACUUGUCACUUGUUCAGUUAUGUAGCGCCGGAAUAUGCAUGCACCGGAAUGUUAAACGAGAAGAGUGACAUCUACAGCUUUGGAAUAUUAAUCAUGGAGAUCAUCACUGGUAGAAACCCUGUUGAUUAUAGUCGCCCUCAAGGAGAGGUAUGUGUUUAUUGGUGGAUUCUUACACCCUCCUUGUUUCUAUUCCCUCUAUGUUUUUCUUAUACAUGUUUUUUUUUUCUCUGUGUGUGGGGUUUAUAGACGAAUCUAGUGGACUGGCUGAAAACAAUGGUAGGAAACCGAAGAUCAGAAGAAGUAGUUGAUCCCAAAAUAGCGGAACCACCAUCAUCGAAGGCUCUUAAACGAGUGUUGCUCGUUGCUUUGCGUUGUGUUGAUCCAGAUGCAAACAAGAGACCUAAAAUGGGACAUAUCAUUCAUAUGCUUGAAGCUGAAGACUCACUCUAUCGCGAUGUAAGCCAUUUUUUUUGUCUUUAUUAUAUUUUUUAUGAGUUAAAAUAAUUGUCUAAUGGUGA